CGCAGCCGCGGUAAUUCCAGCUCCAAUAGCGUAUAUUAAAGUUGUUGCAGUUAAAAAGCUCGUAGUUGAAUUUCGGGAUCAAUUAAUCGGUCGUGCCUCUGGUACGCACUGGUUUUAUUGGUUUCUCCCUUCUGACGAACCAGGAUGUCAUUAAUUUGGUGUCUUGGAGAAUCAGGACUGUUACUUUGAAAAAUUAGAGUGUUUAAAGCAGGCUUCUAGGCAUGAAUACAUUAGCAUGGAAUAAUGAAAUAGGACGUUUGAUCCUAUUUUGUUGGUUUCUAGGAUCGACGUAAUGAUUAAUAGGGAUAGUUGGGGGCAUUAGUAUUCAAUUGUCAGAGGUGAAAUUCUUGGAUUUAUUGAAGACUAACUAUUGCGAAAGCAUUUGCCAAGGAUGUUUUCAUUAAUCAAGAACGAAAGUUAGGGGAUCGAAGACGAUCAGAUACCGUCGUAGUCUUAACCAUAAACUAUGCCGACUAGGGAUCGGAUGAUGUUAAUUUUUAAUGUACUCAUUCGGCGUACC
rnacentral:rRNA from 1 species